AGUGAACGCUGGCGGUAGGCCUAACACAUGCAAGUCGAACGGCAGCACAGUAAGAGCUUGCUCUUACGGGUGGCGAGUGGCGGACGGGUGAGGAAUACAUCGGAAUCUACUUUUUCGUGGGGGAUAACGUAGGGAAACUUACGCUAAUACCGCAUACGACCUACGGGUGAAAGCAGGGGAUCUUCGGGCCUUGCGCGAUUGAAUGAGCCGAUGUCGGAUUAGCUAGUUGGCGGGGUAAAGGCCCACCAAGGCGACGAUCCGUAGCUGGUCUGAGAGGAUGAUCAGCCACACUGGAACUGAGACACGGUCCAGACUCCUACGGGAGGCAGCAGUGGGGAAUAUAGGACAAUGGGCGCAAGCCUGAUCCAGCCAUACCGCGUGGGUGAAGAAGGCCUUCGGGUUGUAAAGCCCUUUUGUUGGGAAAGAAAAGCAGCAGGUUAAUACCCCGCUGUUCUGACGGUACCCAAAGAAUAAGCACCGGCUAACUUCGUG
rnacentral:rRNA from 1 species